CAGCUGAUCUCAUUAAACUUCUAAUUGUGGUUAAAUAUUUGGUUUUACAGGGCAUGGGUGAUAUGAAAGCAAUAUCAAGCUUGGAUUUGGAAGGAGUGGCUGUGUAGUUGUCCAGGGGUUUUAAGAAUGGAUCAGGAUCCAGAAACUUAACAAUCAUCAACGGCUACAAAACAAUGCAAUCAUGAAUCAGAUUCUUGAGUUGAAAAAUCUUCAACUUACUGGAGGAGAUAAUCAGAAAAAUCAUUGCAUCAUAAUGGAGAAUAUGUUACACCCUUCUCCAUCCACAUCACUUCAGGAGUAUUAGUCAAUGACAGACUCGAGCAGCAAUGCAAGGAACUCAAUUGUCUCACUAAUGAGCUUCAGAGCUUAGACAACUCAAGUCAAGUGUUAAUGAGGGAAGAUUAAUUUGUGUUGCAGAGAUGAUUGUUGCCGCUUACUUUUUGGAUGCUUUAAGCGGUAAAGCUUGCCCUACUGCCGAUGAUGUCAUGAAAAAUCUUGGGCAGAUCGGCAGAGUUGGAGCAGCAACAAAUCACGAUGAAGAAAUCACUAAACAAAAAUGAAACGUCUCCAUCGAUCCAUUAUGUCUAGGUUUUAGGGUUCCCAAUUCAUUGCCGUCCCCGCAACAAAAAAUGGGCUGAUAAAGAGGCAACACAUAGUCGACCAGCAACAACUCUCUCCGUGAUUAAUGCCCUAUAGUGGUGCCUAAGCAAGUGGAGUUGGAUUAGGCGGCGUUAGAGGACAACACUGAGGAGGCUUUGGAGGUUACAUUUGAGGAGUGAUCUCUUUCACAGACGUCUUCCUUUUGCCGAGAAUGCUCAUCCACGCUACAAA